CUGAUCAUUGCAACUGAGCCAAUCUGGUGGCCACUCGGCGCCCCCUUCCCGACUGUUUCCCACUCAGAUAUGGCCAUGAAGGGAUUGGACAAGGCAGGGUUCCUGUGAUGCACCAGCCGGUGACUACCACAGCGCAUUCUGGGCUUUGGCACCUCGGCCAGAGGAAGAUGACUUUGGGUCAAGAGCCCGGUUGCGAAAGCGACUAAGACGGUGGCGACAGAGCACCAUAUUGCAUUUCCGGACAUCUUUCAGUCGCCCCAAUAUCCAAUUCCAGCCAAUCUCAGGAUCCUGUCCCGGUUUUCUUCCCAGAACAGGAAGUCGACCACGGAAUUGCUGUCCACCCACACGUGUAUUCAAAUAGACUGAUGAGGCUGUAGAGAUGCUCCGCAGUUAGCGGUCCGCUACCCCCGCAGAGGACCCCGCGGGCUCAGGACCGCCUGACUCCAGUCCUGGGCAGCCGACGCCCCCUCUCGGCCUCCGCGGGUACUGCAUGCUGUGCACAUGCUCAGAUGCAGUGCUGCGGGCCCUGGAACGCAUUCCUCCUGAGUGGUAUUUCUUUCAAACGCUUUCAACAUUCUCUCUCUUUCACUCUCUGUCUCUCUCUCCUUCACUUUGUUUCUUCAUUUUAAUUUUAUUCUUUGUUUGAGACAGAGUCUCACUCUGUAGCCCAAGUUGGCCUCAGACUCACAGAUUCCCCUACCUUUGUUUCUAGUACCUGAAAGACAGGUGAAGUCUCUGCAAGCCCUACAAUCAGAGCCCCAUCCCUCCCCCACCCUCUCCGCCCCACCCCCAGCCCGCCCCACUCCUCACCCACCCCCAGCCCACUGCCACACUUCUCAUCCACCCCCAGCCCACUGCCACACUUCUCAUCCACCCGCAGCCCGCCCCACUCCUCACCCACCUCCAGCCCCUUUCUCGGCUCUGGAAGCCUGCGGUGCCCGGCUGCUGACAGCAGAUGGCGACCGUGCUCGCCUGCGCGCGCCGCCGCUAUCCCCGCAAAGCUUCCCAAAGGAACAGCCGCGACCUCCACACCCCCACUGAGACGACAGCCGGGAGCCUGAGAAGAUGAAGCAAAGCCUCGGACUCUGGACCGCUGCGGGGAGUGUGGGUGACAAACCCGCCUUGAGGGGCGACACGCCAGCCUCGCUGUUUUCCUUCACCUCCACCCUGCCCACCUGUCUGACCCCUCGCCUUGCCUCUCAAAUUUCUGUCCUCCGAGAACCCAGCUACAGCAAUUCCCAGAAGCUGAUGCAGGAGGAUCACAAAGUCCUCCUGCAUUCUUGUAAGAAUAAAUUUUAAAAUAAAAUGGGCUGGGAAGUGGUGGCGCACGCCUUUAACCCCAGCAGUCAGGAGGCAGAGGCAGACGGAUCUCCUAGUUCAAGGCCAGCCUGGUCUACGGAGUGAGUUCUAGGACAGCCAGGGCUAUACAGGGAAACCCUGUCUUGAAAACCGCAAUAAAUAAAUAAAAAUUGUAAGAAAAUAAAUACAA